rnacentral:rRNA from 1 species
AGCGGCGGAGGGGUGACUAAUGCCUAGGAAUCUGCCUGGUAGUGGGGGAUAACGUUCGGAAACGGACGCUAAUACCGCAUACGUCCUACGGGAGAAAGCAGGGGACCUUCGGGCCUUGCGCUAUCAGAUGAGCCUAGGUCGGAUUAGCUAGUUGGUGGGGUAAUGGCUCACCGGGGCGACGAUCCGUAACUGGUCUGAGAGGAUGAUCAGUCACACUGGAACUGAGACACGGUCCAAACUCCUACGGGAGGCAACAGUGGGGAAUAUUGGACAAUGGGCGAAAGCCUGAUCCAGCCAUGCCGCGUGUGUGAAGAAGGUCUUCGGAUUGUAAAGCACUUUAAGUUGGGAGGAAGGGCAGUUGCCUAAAACGUAACUGUUUUGACGUUACCGACAGAAUAAGCACCGGCUAACUCUGUGCCAGCAGCCGCGGUAAUACAGAGGGUGCAAGCGUUAAUCGGAAUUACUGGGCGUAAAGCGCGCGUAGGUGGUUUGUUAAGUUGGAUGUGAAAUCCCCGGGCUCAACCUGGGAACUGCAUUCAAAACUGACUGACUAGAGUAUGGUAGAGGGUGGUGGAAUUUCCUGUGUAGCGGUGAAAUGCGUACAUAUAGGAAGGAACACCAGUGGCGAAAGCGACCACCUGGACUGAUACUGACACUGAGGUGCUAAAGCGUGAGGGAGCAAACAGGAUUAGAUACCCUGGUAGUCCACGCCCUGAAACGAUGUCACUACCGUUGGGAGCCUUGAGCUCUUAGUGUCGCAACUAACGCAUGUAAGAUUGACCCGCCUUGGAGAGUACGG